rnacentral:rRNA from 1 species
AUUGAACGCUGGCGGCAUGCCUUACACAUGCAAGUCGAACGGCAGCACGGGGCAACCUGGUGGCGAGUGGCGAACGGGUGAGUAAUGCAUCGGAACGUGCCAUUGAGUGGGGGAUAACGUAGCGAAAGUUGCGCUAAUACCGCAUAUUCUGUGAGCAGGAAAGCAGGGGACCGCAAGGCCUUGCGCUCUUUGAGCGGCCGAUGUCAGAUUAGCUAGUGGUGAGGUAACGGCUUACCAAGGCGACGAUCUGUAGCGGGUCUGAGAGGAUGAUCGCCACACUGGAACUGAGACACGGUCCAGACUCCUACGGAGGCAGCAGUGGGGAAUUUUUGGACAAUGGGCGCAAGCCUGAUCCAGACCAUGCCGCGUGAGUGAAG